rnacentral:sRNA from 1 species
GUCGCGACAAGUUUCCAUACAAUAUGGUA